rnacentral:rRNA from 1 species
AUUGGACGCUGGCGGCAGGCCUAACACAUGCAAGUCGAGCGGAUGAGGAAAGCUUGCUUUUCGAUUCAGCGGCGGACGGGUGAGUAAUGCCUAGGAAUCUGCCUGUUAGUGGGGGAUAACUCGGGGAAACUCGGGCUAAUACCGCAUACGUCCUACGGGAGAAAGUGGGGGAUCUUCGGACCUCACGCUAACAGAUGAGCCUAGGUCGGAUUAGCUAGUAGGUGAGGUAAUGGCUCACCUAGGCGACGAUCCGUAACUGGUCUGAGAGGAUGAUCAGUCACACUGGAACUGAGACACGGUCCAGACUCCUACGGGAGGCAGCAGUGGGGAAUAUUGGACAAUGGGCGAAAGCCUGAUCCAGCCAUGCCGCGUGUGUGAAGAAGGUCUUCGGAUUGUAAAGCACUUUAAGUUGGGAGGAAGGGUAUUCACCUAAUACGUGGGUACUUUGACGUUACCAACAGAAUAAGCACCGGCUAACUCUGUGCCAGCAGCCGCAGUAAUAC